UUUGGAGUGCUUCUUGUCCUUGCUGUGCUUGUGCUGCAGGCAAAAACAAAAGAAGGCAAACAAUUCAGCAAAAGGCAAAAGGUGUGCAGACAAGAUAGGUCACUUGCAGCUCUGUUGCUAAGGAUGCACGCAGGUCACUUAGGUUAUUUUAAGUUACUUGCAAAAUAGGUCACUUGCACUCGACCUAUUUGUAAACAGGUCAACUGCACAACUCAGGUCACCAGCACACCAAUCAUCUGCGCUCAGGUCACUUAUAAACAGAUCACCUGCACUCAGGUCAAUCGCAAACAGGCCGCCUCACGCAAUCAGGUUACCAGCACACAAUUCAUUUGCACUCAUGUCAGCAGCACACCAAUUAUCUGCGCUAGGUCGCUUGCAGAUUCUGUUGUCAAAGACAAUAAGCACCGUCUACCUCAACCUUCACACCGAAUGUCCAUAUUAUGUUUGUUGUCAAAGAAGAAAGCACACACACACACACACACAUUUGGCACAUGACAGACAGACAUUGACCAUUUACACACACACACACACACAACACACACACACANNNNNNNNNNNNNNNNNNNNNNNNNNNNNNNNNNNNNNNNNNNNNNNNNNNNNNNNNNNNNNNNNNNNNNNNNNNNNNNNNNNNNNNNNNNNNNNNNNNNNNNNNNNNNNNNNNNNNNNNNNNNNNNNNNNNNNNNNNNNNCACACACACACACACAGGGGGAACCAAGAUCAAGCAGGGGCAAUUCAAGGAAAACUCACCACACGAAGCUCACCUUUUUGUGCUUCUUUUUUCCAUCCUCGUCUCCCUCGCGCUUCCGCUUCUUCUCCUUCUUCUUGUCCUUCCUCUUUUUGUCAUCUCCUUUGCUGUGUUUAUGUGACUUCUUCUCGCGACGGUUGGCCUCCGCCUCACUCUCGCUGCUACUACUGCUACUGCUCAGAUCAUCCAAAUCACUCAGCUCCCCUGCAUGGCAAAGAAUGAAGCAUAAUGUUUAAUCACACAAAAUGACAAAGUAUGAACCAAACUGUAUAAUCAUCUGUAUCACUGAGCUCCCCUGCAUGGCGAAGAAUAAAUCAUAUUGUAUGAUCACACACACACAUGAAUCACAAACAUGACAAUCCAAGCCACUAUGCACAGUGCUGCCACUGCUGAGCGCAAUUCAGUCACUUAGCUCUCAGCAAAGCGCGAAGGCCACAGGUUUAAAGGUGAAGGAAGGAAAAGUAAGGAAAAGGAAGGAAAGGGAAGGGAAUACCGAAAAACAAAAUGUUCUGGCUUUAAAUCAGAACAGGUCUGCACAAGCUCAAUGUUGACCUGCACACUCAACCUCACCGGAGCCCAGACUAAGCGAAACAGCCCAGACACACCAUCAUGGUACAUCAAUUCAAAUGAUAAAAAGAACAUAAAACUCAAUCAAAAAUGCAUGUUUAAGGCUGCCAGCAGCCUGGAAUACCCCAUUUCUCCUUUCACCUCUGUGUAACAAGCCCCCCCCCCCCCUCGAAAAACCACCUCCAUGGUGUCAUGUAGGCCAGGAGUUCCCACAAAAAGAGCCAGCAAUAAAACCUCCAAAGACUACGAGGCGCCGGAAGCGCUCCCCCACGAUGACCCUUUCCCCUUCCCCUUGUCACACAGCUCUCCUCCCCCCCCCCUGAUAAAAUUGAGCCUGUAGUGCAGCCCUGCCUUUCCUCCCCUCGAACUGCAGUGAGAAGCAAGCAAUCCCCCUCUCAUCAAAGUGGGAGACCUGCAAUGCUAAAUUGGAAGCGCAUGAUUGAUUGCUUUUGCCUGCACAGCGCUGUGGUCAAAGGGCUGCCAAAAAUUGACAUUUUAUCCUUGAUUGAGGCCGCCUGUUGCUCUCCACCAUCCCUACCAACAGGGAAAGUGUCUGGUGUAAACCACUUAGGUAAGAUUGCUCUGGGGCCCAAGAGCCAGUCCAGACAAUAGAUUGAAAUGGACGUGACAAAUACACACAGCAGAGGGUAUACUUAAUAAAGGGUCCGCCAAAUUUUUCUGAACCUGCUCGAGCUAUCUUGGCACAACCUUUUAGUGUGGGGUCAUUUUCUGCGUGCCUCUGGAACAAUCCCCAUCAGGAGCCAGGGGAAAGGCUUCCCCUUGUUAUGUGUGACAGGAUAAAUUGAAGCGGUGUCCAACGGGGCAGAAGCAAUAGUUACAGAGCACCAACAGCACGCCACACAAGUGCACAGCACGCUUGGCCGAUGCACCAAAAAUGGCACACGCGCGCCAAAACAUACGCCAAGGGUUUGCCAAUUCCGUGCAUUGGUUUUUCAAACAUGAUAUACACGUAUCCAUGCGCGUAUGUGCUGGGGCUCGUUUACGGGGAGGUUUCCAAAUUUCACUGUUAAACGGAUUGGAAUACAGCCGCACAUACGCCGUAUUUAUUCCCCAUACAUACAUGAAUAUACAAGACAAGCACACAAUAAUUACACAAAUGCUAAGCCAAAAAGUGAGGAGUUCUUGCCCCACAGGAUUUCAAGCAAAUUGAGUAUGCAAAGUAGUUAAUAUUGAUACAUUGAAUACUUCUGCAUCAAAAAAAGUGAGGAUGAGGUGUUGCAUGUGAGCCAGGGGCAUACUUUGAGGCGUUUUAGGCCAAAUUUAGCCAUUCCCAACGAAAUAAAUCAUAUGGUGCAUGUUUUGACCCGAAUUUGCUUUAUCUUUUGGCUCCCAGGUAGUUUUUGUGUCAAACCUGACCCAUCAGGGUGAAAAAACGGGGGUGUGAAAGUUGGCCCCAGCGCACUUGAAGCAUGAGCAAAUCUGCCAGGCAAAAAUGGUGCCAAACUGGAAAGCAGGCAAGCACAGCAUUUGGCCACAAUCCGAGUAUGAGGUGUUGUUUAGUAUGUUACACAAGCAUGCACUGCCAAGUUUGGGGGCCCAGGUAUGGGCGUGCGCGUUCCUGGGGCUCGGUCAAGGCUGGUAGCUGUCAAGGCUAUGGACUCAAGUGUCACUGCAGAGCCUCAUCAUCUGAUGAGGCAGACCUGCCUUUGGUUGAACAAAUCUCAACAAUGAGGUCUCACCUCUUGCCUCACAUCAUCCAAGCGGCUCAGCUGUCACUCAGCUGGCAAUCUUGAAUUGUUCUUGUAGCUCAAGGAGACAUUGGACCUCUCAAAGCCAAAUCUUACAUUUUAUAAUACAAAGAGCAAGUCGCAAAAGUCGGCUCUACAAAUGGUGCACCCUAUGCCUUUCGCAUACAAUCCAGCUUUUCCCUGCCAAAAUUGGGCGAUUUGCUGGACCUCCGUCCCAGCCCCCCGGACCCCCAGAAUGUACUCCUGGUGAAAUGCCCAACCAUCGCUGUAGGUCAGGUAAGCCGAUGGAGUGGAUCCUGAGGACCCCAUUCUGGCAUGGAUUUGCCUGGUUUCUGGCUCCCCACCCUGGGCCUCCCUGCAGCACAAACUGAAUAUGCAGGGUUGCUCAGAAAGGUAAAAAAAAAGGUCCUGCAUACUCAGAUUUGGCUGGUCCCACUGGGGCAAGAACUCAAACCUAGAUGCCUGGCCUAAUAUGUAGCUUACAACAUCUACAGUUUUCAACAUCUAAUAUUCAAAGCCGCACCCUAGCCAUGAGCAUCCUUCCACAUGCAAGCUCUUUACUUUGAGGUUCAAAGAAAGUCUGCGAGAGGCGCUUUCUUAUUUCAAAAACUGCUUUGCACCUCAAUUGGCAGCAUAAGACGAAUUUAGAAACCAACUCUGAAUGAACGGCUUCAGCUGCUCUUGGUUCAUCUUAUGUUGCUAUAAUGCCAAAUUUUACAGGGGGUUUUUGACGUCUGGAAGGAUGUGGGCACGGAAAGAGAGACCCUGUCAGCCUGACCACUCUGCCUUGCCAUCAUCGGCUUCAGCUGACCUUGCAGCAAAAUUGCAUACUGGAUUAAACAAUCAAAUGGAAAUCGUUCCAAAUAUAAAGAAUGCUCUCCAUCGAGAUUUUGGCCAGAAGUUAUCCUGCUUAAUGCAUAGGGUUAUGGCCAGUCCAGGACAAGGACAUUGUCCUGGCUUGCUUAGAGUUGCAACAGAAACAAAGAUACCAUUUAAAAAUUGGUUGCGAUUGGUGGUUAACGAGUAGCCCUUUCUACAGUUGAAGCAGAUGGCCAACUGCUUGUUGAGGAAAAACAUUGCUGCCCCACACACUUUCCAUUCAGUCUUAGCAUGUUGCAGGAUUUUCUGAGGUAUGUAAGGCAGCGGCAAGUGAAAAAUACCGCUUUUUGUUGCGAGCAAAGGGUGGGCCAGCCAUGAGGAGGUUUUCAUGAAAGGGGGUGGUAGAAAAGAAUGGAACACGAGUGCUUAAUGUGCAUUCAUCAAGGAAAGAGCGACUUGGGUUAACGCAACUUGGGUUUAACUCUGAUGCUAGAUAUAUAGGAAAGAAAAAACUUGCGCUUUUCUUUUUGGUGCAGGCGGCAAACAAAAGAUGUUCAGAUACAGUGCUGAUACAUCCCUUUGGUUUUGGUAGCAGGCAACUGAAGGCCAAGAUCAGAUGAUUUGUAAUUUGGCAAACAAAUGCACCUGAUGUAGGCAGCACACCUCCAUCUGCGCGCGCGCUUCAGGUGCAGCUCUUUGUUUUUCCAUAACGUGCAACCCCAGAUCUGUAUAAGGUAAGGGAUGAGAGUGUAAUAUUAUCAAGGGAUAAGAGUGCAAUAUCAUUAUCUGUAAUAUCUGUAAUAUUACUGUAAUGCUCUCUGUUUUGAAUGACCUUGCAGGAGCACAACCACCCCAUUCCUGGGGUUGAGCAACCCCGCCACACAUGUCUGGUGGAGGAAAUUCUCAAAUUUGGGGGUAUUACAGCAGUACGUAAAUGCUACUGUAGUACAGACAUGUAAAAGUAGCAUUACUUCCUACACCUUUAAAAAAUCAUUUGCUCAAUUAUGGAACACAACUGGUGUAGGCCACCAUCUGCAGCUGCACUGCAGGUGCAGCCCUUAGGAUUUUCUUGAUGAGCCCACAGAACAACCUUGCGUGCUGGGACAGACUUAUCCUCAACACUAUCAAAGAGCAACUGGAGAUCUGUCAUACAUUUUCCCCAAGGUGGACAACUCCCCGAUAUCACUGGAUAUGAACUUUUCCAACUCCUUUUCUCAAGUCUAACCAUGCCAACCAUUUUUAUUCCAUAAAAAACCAUGUUCACCAGAAACUCAUGAAAAUCGGAGGUCCCCAGAUCACUCUCCUGGCCUCAAAUCACCCCGAAAGAGGCCCACAGCUCCACCCUGGGACCAUUUUUCACUUCCAGAAUUUUGUAUUUGAAACCCCCAUAUGUUGUGUUAUCAUCCUGCAUAAUAAAAAAUAAGUCAGGAGGAGGUCAAAUUUUGACCUUUUUGGCCAACCCUGUGCUGCAAUCUCUCUUAAAAAGAAAAAAAGAAAUGCUGUAUAUCACCUAACCGCUAGGUCUUUCUACCCUUUUUUUUUUCUUGCAAUGACAUUCUCUUGGUACAAUGACUCCAAAUCAAUUAAAAAAAAAAAUCAUUCAAUUUGGUCAAGUGGGUGGUCAGAAAUGAAAAUUUGGUGGUGAAAAUUAGGGUUCACGCUGUGGCUAAUUAGGCAUAUGGGGCCAAGCCUUAGACUGUUAGGCUCUAGUUCUACAGGAAGGAUUUCAAACUCAAUGUAAGUGUUUCAGAUUUGGCCUCAUCUAUGCAAUGAUCACGGACUAUUAAGCUCUAGUUUUACAGAAGGAUAUUUAAAUCAUAGUAGUGUCUAAGAUUUGGCCCCACCUAUGCAAUGAUCAUGGACUAUUAAGCUCUAGUUUUACAGAAGGGAUUUUAAAAUCAACGUGUGUGUCUAAGAUUUGGUCCCACCUAUGCAAUGAUCAUGGACUAUUAAGCUCUAGUUUUACAAGAAGGAUUUCAAAGUCAAUGUGAGUGUCUAAGAUUUGGCCCCACCUAUGCAAUGAUCAUAGACUAUUAAGCUCUAGUUUUACAGGAAGCAUUUCAAAAUCAAUGUGAGUGUCUAAGAUUUGGCCCCACCUAUGCAAUGAUCAUGGACUAUUAAGCUCUAGUUUUACAGGAAGGAUUUCAAAAUCAAUGUGAGUGUCUAAGAUUUGGCCUCACCUAUGCAAUGACCAUUUUAAGAACACCUAUUUUGGGGGGGGGGGGGGAGUUAUCCAGCUCUGAUAUUUUACUCCUUGAUCAUGGGACAAACCUGGUGCAGGCGGCAGGCCUCUAUUUGCAGCAUUGAAACAGCCCUUCAAACUCCCAGCAUAACUGAACAUUCCCGUUGAAUGUAUCAUUAGCUCAAUAACAGAACACACCUGGUGCAGGCAGCAGGCCUCUAUCUGCAACAGGAUCACCCGGGGCCGAAGAGGUAGGUCCGGCAGCAGCUGUGUGGCCUGUUACAAAAUUGGUGCACUGCCUGCAGAUGCAUGCAUAUGAAUAGGGUCGCUUUGUUCCCUUAUUUAAACGUUAUUACAUGUAUGAUACAGCAAUUGCAUGGAAUUUCAAGCAUCUUAUGUACGGACAUGCAGCAUUUGUGUUCAGAACUGGCCAACCUUGCGUAUUAAUCUAACACACAUGCUGUGGGCUGAAGCUGAAGGUCGAGCAGCAUCCGCUUGGCCAUCCUCACAGCCGUUGCACUGCAUGGGAGCGCACACGCUUAAUGCAUGCUGUUGCUGGGAAUCUGGCAGCAGUCGAUGCGGGAAGUCCGGCAGCAGCUGUGGCACGUCAAAAUUGUGGGGCGCACUGCCUGCUAGCGCACUUUCACACACGCAUGCACGCCACAAUGUCAGCACGCCAGGAUCCCAUACUGCAAGCAUGCCACAAUUUCAAUGCGCCACAAUGCCAGCUUGCCAGAUCGUUUGCAAGCCACGAUGCCAGCAUGCCACAAUGCCAGCGCGUCACAACACCAGCAUGCUACCGUGCCAGCAUGCCGGCGUGCCAGAAUGCCCCAAUGCAAGCUUGCGGUCAAGCCACAAUGCUGGCAUGCCAGCCCACCAAUGUACCACAAUACCAGCACACCACGAAACCAGCAUGCCAAUGUGCCAGCUUGUCAGCGCGCCACAAUGCCUGUGUGCCACAACACCAGCAUGCUACCGUGCCAGCAAGCCAGCGUGCCAGAAUGCCCCAAUGCAAGCUUGCGGUCAAGCCACAAUGCCGGCAUGCCAGCUUGCCAGUGUACCACAAAACCAGCAUGCCAAUGUGCCAGCUUGUCAGUGCGCCACAAUGCCUGUGUGCCACAAUGCCAGCGUGCCACAAUACCAGCAUGCUAGCGUGCCAGCAUGCUACCGUGCCAGAAUGCCACAACACCAGCAUGCUAYYGYGCCAGCAWGCCAGCGYGCCAGAAUGCCCCAAUGCAAGCUUGCCGUCRAGCCACAAUGCCAGCGUGCCAGCUUGCCAGUGUACCACAAUACCAGCACGCCACAAAACCAGCAUGCCAAUGUGCCAGCUUGUCAGCGCGCCACAAUGCCUGUGUGCCACAAUGCCAGCGUGCCACAACACCAGCAUGCUACCGCGCCAGCAUGCUACCGUGCCAGAAUGCCACAACACCAGCAUGCUACCGUGCCAGCAAGCCAGCGUGCCAGAAUGCCCCAAUGCAAGCUUGCCGUCGAGCCACAAUGCCAGCGUGCCAGCUUGCCAGUCUACCACAAUACCAGCACGCCACAAAACCAGCAUGCCAAUGUGCCAGUUUGUCAGCGCGCCACAAUGCCUGUGUGCCACAAUGCCAGCGUGCCACUAUACAAGGUUACGAGGUCACAAGGCCUCCAGUCAAAACGACUGACUGCUAGCCUGCAAGCCAGCGUGCCACAAUACCAGCAUGCUAGCGUGCCACAAUACCAGCAUGCCAGCAUGCCAGUGCGCCAGCAUGCCUGCAUGCAAGCGUGUGAGAAUGCCAAUGUGUCAAACUGCCAGCUUGUUAGCGUGCCAGCGUGCCACAUCGCCAGCAUGCUAGCUUGCUGUCAAAAUGCCAUAGAAUGCCAGUGCGCCAGCAUGCCAGUGCGCCAGCAUGCCUGCAUGCAAGCGUGCGACAAUGCCAAUGUGUCAAACUGCCAGCUUGUUAGCGUGCCAGCGUGCCACAUCGCCAGCAUGCUCGCUUGCUGUCAUGAUGCCAUAGAAUGCCAGUGCGCCAGCAUACCAGUGCGCCAGCAUGCCUGCAUGCAAGCGUGCGACAAUGCCAAUGUGCCAACCUGCCAGCUUGUUAGCAUGCCAGCAUGCCACAUCGCCAGCAUGCUCGCUUGCUGUCAAAAUGCCAUAGGAUGCCAGCAUGCCAGCAUGCCAGUGCGCCAGCAUGCAUGCAUGCAAGCGUGCGACAAUGCCUAUGUGUCAAACUGCCAGCUUGUUAGCGUGCCAGCGUGCCAGCUUGCCAACACGCCACAACAUCUGUGCUUGUUUGUGGGUGAGAUAGGGGAGUACAUGCAUGUGUACACAUGUACCCUGACACGCAAGAUUGUGCAUGAGAGAUUCAUGCAAGUGUCCUUCAAUCAGUGCCCAGAUUCUUACAACACUCUUUUCCACAUCCGUCACAUUUGUGCAUGGCCCUAAUAUUUCCAACCUUCAAUCAGAUCCUGUGUCAGGUCCCUUGCUCAUAAAUGAGUGCAGGAUCUGUACUUCUGAUACAAAUGAGAACAAGGCAUGCAAGAACAGGGGCAGAUUCAGAUCCCGCACUUUCGAUACAAAUUAGAAGGAGGGAACAAGAUCAGGGGCAGAAACUGAACCUUUCGUUCCCAUACAAAUGCAAAGAGGGCACGCGGGAACAGGGGUGAACACAGAAACCUUGCUUCCAACACAAAUGGGAAGGGGCACGCAGGAAUAGGAGCAAAAACAUUCUGCACUUCUGACACAAACGAGGGGGGGGCAUGCAUGAACAAGCGAGGAAACAGAUCCUCCACUUGCAAUCAAGAGAAGGAGAGGGCGUGCAAGAGCAGGGGCAAAAUCAGAUCCUUUGCUUUCAUGGCAAACGAGAGGGGGCCAAGCCAAAAAAGGAGCAAACACAGAUUGUUUGCUUCCCAUAGAAGUGAUACAUCCUUCACUCCCAUUACAGACGAAAAGGUGGCACGCAAGAACAGGGGCAAAAACAGAUCCUUUGCUUCCCAUAGAAGUGACACAAGGGGACGCAAGGUUAGGGGCAGAAUAAGGUCCUUUACCUCCAAUACUAAUGAGGAGGGGCCAUGCAAGAACAGGAACUACUACAGAUCCUGUGCGUCUCAUACCAAUGAGCUCCUGAUACAAAUCUUGGAGGGACACGUGAGAGCAGGGGCAAAAACAGAUCCCCUGCUUCCAAUUCAAAGGAAGGGGGGCGUGUGAAAACAGGGGCAAAAACAUGUCCUUUGCUUUGAAUUCAAAUGAGCAGGGGGCACGCAAAAAAAGGAGGCAAAACAAGUCCAGGGGAGGGACAAGCCCUCCUUGCUCCAUGCCAUGCCGUCACAUUACAGAGUUACCCUUGUUGUACUUCCUGGACAAGACACAGCGCAAGCAUUGGGACUCGCUCGCGCUUGCGACAACGCGAAGACGCUGGAGUUGCCGUGCAAGAUGGACCUCUCUCUCUUCCAAAAUCAAGGAAGAAGGGGACACACUUCCCUCCAUUCUCUUGGCCUGACGACCGAUGUUUCUGCUUCAAAUACAAGCAAGAAAGAGACAAACACCUCUCCUCAGUGUACUCAGCCGAACCGUUGCCAUUCAACGCUUCAGCCGCCCAAACAUAAAACAAGGGAAAAAAGCGCCUUCACUCAGCACCCCCAGCUUGACUGUUGUCAUUCAGUGUUCUAGCUCUCCGCACUGCUUGCGAGCAAACAGCUGAUUUUCAGCCUUUUCCCUCUCAGAUGUGGCCAGCUCACAUCGUCACUUGCUCACUUUUGAUGUGGUCGGGUGCUAGCUGCUCACAUUGUCAUGCGUCCCAACCCUACACAGCGUUCGCAACUUCUCUGAUCCUGACACAACGGGUACAAAGUACCAUACAAUUCAUUGGGUCCUGUGCUUACAGCCUUCUAGUCAGGUGCUAACAGCCCACCUGGUCAUGUGACCCAGCCCUCCACACCGUUUACACGCCCCCCGCACUUUCUCCCCGGUCCCGAAGCUUCCUUGGGUUUUGGC
rnacentral:lncRNA from 1 species